rnacentral:rRNA from 1 species
AGUGAACGCUGGCGGUAGGCCUAACACAUGCAAGUCGAACGGCAGCACAGUAAGAGCUUGCUCUUACGGGUGGCGAGUGGCGGGCGGGUGAGGAAUACAUCGGAAUCUACUUUUUCGUGGGGGAUAACGUAGGGAAACUUACGCUAAUCCCGCAUACGACCUACGGGUGAAAUCAGGGGAUCUUCGGACCUUGCGCGAUUGAAUGAGCGGAUGUCGGAUUAGCCAGUUGGCGGGGUAAAGGCCCACCAAGGCGACGAUCCGUAGCUGGUCUGAGAGGAUGAUCAGCCACACUGGAACUGAGACACGGUCCAGACUCCUACGGGAGGCAGCAGUGGGGAAUAUUGGACAAUGGGCGCAAGCCUGAUCCAGCCAUACCGCGUGGGUGAAGAAGGCCUUCGGGUUGUAAAGCCCUUUUGUUGGGAAAGAAAAGCAGCAGGUUAAUACCCCGCUGUUCUGACGGUACCCAAAGAAUGAGCACCGGCUAACUUCGUG